GAUGAAGAACUCAGCGAAAUGCGAUAAGUAAUGUGAAUUGCAGAAUUCAGUGAAUCAUCGAAUCUUUGAACGCACAUUGCGCCCGCCAGUAUUCUGGCGGGCAUGCCUGUUCGAGCGUCAUUUCAACCAUCAAGCCCCCGGCUUGUGUUGGGGACCUGCGGCUGCCGCAGGCCCUGAAAACCAGUGGCGGGCUCGCUAGUCACUCCGAGCGUAGUAGUUACAUCUCGCUCAGGGCGUGCUGCGGGUUCCGGCCGUUAAAAGCCUUAUUUACCCAAGGUUGACCUCGGAUCAGGUAGGAAGACCCGCUGAACUUAAGCAUAUCAAUAAGCGGAGGA
rnacentral:misc_RNA from 1 species